AAACCAGCACCUCAAGUGGUCAGGAUGAUUAUUGGGCCUAAAGCAUCCGUAGCCGGCUCAGUAAGUUUUCGGUUAAAUCUGUACGCUCAACGUACAGGCUGCCGGGAAUACUGCAGAGCUAGGGAGUGGGAGAGGUAGACGGUACUCGGGAGGAAGUGGUAAAAUGCUUUGAUCUGUCGAUGACCACCUGUGGCGAAGGCGGUCUACCAGAACACGUCCGACGGUGAGGGAUGAAAGCUGGGGGAGCAAACCGGAUUAGAAACCCCGGUAGUCC
rnacentral:rRNA from 1 species